rnacentral:lncRNA from 1 species
AUGGGCAUGUCAGAAAGGCAACAGCUUCCCUGGACGUGGGGUGUUUGUGUGCCGUGCCGUGGGUGCUGCUUGCUGCUGGCAGCGCUCCUUGGUUCGGGUCUGGGCUGUAGUGUGGAGGUUUUCACUGGUAUCAUAGCACACAGGGGACAAAUAAUACGGAGCAGAGGAAGGCACGGGGAUAUAAAAACAAUCCCCUCAGCAAAUGGAGGGCCACGGCACAUCAAUUUCUUUCUGCAGUGUCUGGUGGUUGUUGCAGGAAGACGCGGUGCAGCCACCUCAUCAAAAGACCCCCCUGGCUUUGUGGUACCUGGGUCUCCCCAUAGCAAGGAGACAGCAGGAGCAUAUUGUCGGUGUCUUCUGGUCUCUGAGCCUCCUGGGAGCCCGAGGAUGAUACAUGAGUUGAUUUCUUCUGGAAGGGGGAUGAGCAGCCUCCAACUUGCCAGCCCAGUAUUGCUACACCUUCCGUCUGCCAUAUGUCAGAUACACACAGAGACCAGGAGCUGUAAAGUUGGGUUGCACCAGAGGAAAACCACUGGUGACUGA